rnacentral:rRNA from 1 species
AGUCAGAUUAGCUAGUUGGUGGGGUAAAGGCCUACCAAGGCGACGAUCUGUAGCGGGUCUGAGAGGAUGAUCCGCCACACUGGGACUGAGACACGGCCCAGACUCCUACGGGAGGCAGCAGUGGGGAAUAUUGGACAAUGGGCGAAAGCCUGAUCCAGCCAUGCCGCGUGUGUGAAGAAGGCCUUUUGGUUGUAAAGCACUUUAAGCGAGGAGGAGGCUACUUAGAUUAAUACUCUAGGAUAGUGGACGUUACUCGCAGAAUAAGCACCGGCUAACUCUGUGCCAGCAGCCGCGGUAAUACAAAGGGUGCGAGCGUUAAUCGGAUUUACUGGGCGUAAAGCGUGCGUAGGCGGCUUUUUAAGUCGGAUGUGAAAUCCCUGAGCUUAACUUAGGAAUUGCAUUCGAUACUGGGAAGCUAGAGUAUGGGAGAGGAUGGUAGAAUUCCAGGUGUAGCGGUGAAAUGCGUAGAGAUCUGGAGGAAUACCGAUGGCGAAGGCAGCCAUCUGGCCUAAUACUGACGCUGAGGUACGAAAGCAUGGGGAGCAAACAGGAUUAGAUACCCUGGUAGUCCAUGCCGUAAACGAUGUCUACUAGCCGUUGGGGCCUUUGAGGCUUUAGUGGCGCAGCUAACGCGAUAAGUAGACCGCCUGGGGAGUACGGUCGCAAGACUAAAACUCAAAUGAAUUGACGGGGGCCCGCACAAGCGGUGGAGCAUGUGGUUUAAUUCGAUGCAACGCGAAGAACCUUACCUGGUCUUGACAUAGUAAGAACUUUCCAGAGAUGGAUUGGUGCCUUCGGGAACUUACAUACAGGUGCUGCAUGGCUGUCGUCAGCUCGUGUCGUGAGAUGUUGGGUUAAGUCCCGCAACGAGCGCAACCCUUUUCCUUAUUGGCCAGCGGGUCAAGCCGGGAACUUUAAGGAUACUGCCAGUGACAAACUGGAGGAAGGCGGGGACGACGUCAAGUCAUCAUGGCCCUUACGACCAGGGCUACACACGUGCUACAAUGGUCGGUACAAAGGGUUGCUACCUAGCGAUAGGAUGCUAAUCUCAAAAAGCCGAUCGUAGUCCGGAUUGGAGUCUGCAAC